AGGAAGAAGAGGAGAGGAGGGAGCGGGCAGCUCCAGCGCUCCCUGAAGCCGCAGAAGCCCCGGGACCAUCGUCCCCCAUCCCGCAGAUUUCCCAUUCCCAAACCUUGGCUGGAUGGAGGAGAAGACUGUGAGGAAGAAGAAGAUGCCACAGAACAGCCAGGCAGAUAAGGAGCUGAGGAUGCAGACGAGGGAGGACAAAUCCCCUCAGCAGAACCUCGUGGAAGAGGUCAUUUUGAGCAGCUCCACGGUGCAGGAAUUCAACAG